AGAAUCAACGCUGGCGGCGUGCCUAACACAUGCAAGUCGAACGAGAAAGGGUAGCAAUACCUGAGUAAAGUGGCGCACGGGUGAGUAACACGUGACUAACCUACCCUGGAGUGGGGGAUAACUGAGGGAAACCUUAGCUAAUACCGCAUAAUACCUACGGGUCAAAGGAGCAAUUCGCUUCAGGAGGGGGUCGCGGCCGAUUAGUUAGUUGGCGGGGUAAUGGCCCACCAAGACGAUGAUCGGUAUCCGGCCUGAGAGGGCGCACGGACACACUGGAACUGAAACACGGUCCAGACUCCUACGGGAGGCAGCAGUGGGGAAUUUUGCGCAAUGGGGGAAACCCUGACGCAGCAACGCCGCGUGGAGGAUGAAGUCCCUUGGGACGUAAACUCCUUUCGACCGGGACGAUACUGACGGUACCGGAUGAAGAGCACCGGCUAACUCUGCGCCAGCAGCCGC
rnacentral:rRNA from 1 species